rnacentral:rRNA from 1 species
CACGCCGUAAACGGUGGGCACUAGGUGUGGGAAACUAUCUACGUUUUCCGCGCCGCAGCUAACGCAUUAAGUGCCCCGCCUGGGGAGUACGGCCGCAAGGCUAAAACUCAAAGGAAUUGA